CAUCAAAGUAAUUUAAAGGGGUUAUUAAGGAUAACUAGCAAAUUUAUAAAAAAGGAGGGAACAAACCAAAAGCCACCAAAGAAAAAAGUGGCGAUCCUAAGGGAAACCUUUAUUAUAUACACUUCCCGAAGUAAAUCAUUUUAGUAGGGAAAGGAAAGGAAAUAAACCGAGACUCCGAAAGUAAUGGCGAGUGAAAUCGGAACAGCCUAAAUAAAAUUAUAAAUUGAAAACCAAAGAAGGUGUUUCAAAAGUCCUGUAGGUUUAUAAAAUUAUUAAAUAAAAAGUACGAUGAGAGAAAACUUGUCGGAAUAUAGGGGAACCAUCCUCUAAGGCUAAGUAUUAUAAAUUUAGCGAUAGUGAAAAGUACUGUGAAGGAAAAGUUGAAAAGCAUGUUAAAAUAGACAUAGUGAAAUAGAUUUUGAAUUAGUAACUCUAUAAGCAGUCGAAGUUUAAAAAAAUAAAUGACGGCGUACCUUUUGCAUAAUGGGUCAGCAAGUUAAUAGGAGUAGCAAGGUUAAAAGCCUUAGCGAAAGCGACUGGACUAACUAGCUAAACAAGCACUGCUUGUGUGGUAUUUUUUAUUUUAAGAACUAAAAUAAACUAUAAAUAGGAUAAUCCUUUAUUGUGAAAGUUUAAGUAAACUAGCAAUGAAGUUAAUUAUUUUCUAGAAAUAGUGGUGGAUAAGUUACUUCUAUUAGACCCGAAGCUAGGUGAUCUUCCCAAGACCAGAUUAUAAUGGAUCGAACGGGUGAAUGUUGCAUAAUUCUCCGAAGAGUUUUGGGAAGCGGUGAAAUGCCAAUCUGACCUAGUGCUAGCUGGUUUUCUACGAAACAUAUGUAAGUAUGACAUCUAUACAAAAUUUAUGGUGGUACAGCACUGAAUUCCCAACACGUAUUAAAUCUUCGACUAUGCGUCGAAGACGAAUAUAAAGUUUAGGUUGAGGGGACCUCGAAAAUCUUACCAAUGGAAGAGAAUCUCGAAAUGACAUAAAUUGAUGAUAGAUAUUCAGACUGCUCAUGAGAAAGUUGAGUAGUCAAGACGGAAACAGCCGAGAACACGAAUACAAGGUCCCAAAUGAUUAUUAAGUGAAAUUAAGGAAAUAACAUAUUGAAUGCAGUUGUAAAGUGAGCCUGGAAGUAGCUAUCUUUUAAUGACCGUAAUGUAACAACGUAGCAGCCCUUAGAAUGUUGUACCUAAAAUUUAACGGGUCUAAAUAAUCAACCGAUAUCGUGUUUAUUUUGAAUAAAAAUAAAAUAUUAAACUUUUAUUCCAAAUAUAGGUAGUAGAACAUUCAGUAAACUUAUAAUAAAACAGUGUUUCAUUGUUUUUAGGAUACUGAAGAGAUAAUGCUGACAUGAGUAACGUAAAAAGAAGUUAUAAUACUUCUCGCCGAAUACGAAAGGGUUAUAAGGAAAGGUUAAACCGCCUUAUGUUAAUGCGGCCUCUAAGGACCAAAACCAAAGUUUUGGCUGAUGAGUAGAAAACUGAAAGUCCCUGCACAGGGACCAGGAAAAUUAAGUUAAAUUUUAAUCUACCGUACCCUAAACCGACACAGGUUCGUAGGUAGAGUAUACUAAGGCGUAGAGCUAAAAGUUGUUAAGGAACUCGGCAAGUUCUCCUCAUAAGUUUGACGACAAGAGGAACCAUCUAAUGUAAAUAUACGUGUCCAAGCCUAAGCUUAACGGCAGGCAGGGACAAGUUAUAAAGUUAAGAUGGUGGCACAAAAUCGGAGGCCCCGACUGUUUACUAAAAACACAAUUCAGAGCAAUUAUUAAAAAUAGUAGUAUUCUGAAUGAAAUUUGCCCAAUGCCAUUAAUAUAAGAGAGGUAAUUAGAAAAAGUUACUAAUCGAAAGUCUGGUUAAUAGCGGUCUUAACUAUGAGGAUCCAAAGGUAGCAAAAUAAGUUGGCCAUUAAAUGUGGUCUGGUAUCAAUAGUGUAACGAUGGUCUCACUGUCUCUACAACUUGCUCAGUGAAAUUGAAUUACCCGUGCAGAUGCGGGUUGCCUCCAGGUGGACGGGAAGACCCUAUGCAGCUUUACUGUAGUUAGUUAUCAUGUUGAUCUACAACAACCUUGGUUAAUAGUGAUUAGGGAAGUCGAUAGACGAAAGAUGGAAUACCUCCUAACUAAGGUUGGGUCAAUGUUUACCUUAUAAUUUAUAAAAUUAGAGGGAGAGUUGACUAAUUGGCAGUUUGACUGGGGCGGUCGUCUUUGAUAGAGUAGCAAAGUACAUCCAAAGAUUUUUAUUUUUAUAAUUUUACUUUUUCUCCCGAUCCUGCCUUGCCUUUCCCGUAAGGGGUGCGAGGCGAGGGGAAGGAAGAGUGUAAGAUACAGACUUAAAGUUUAUAAAUACAUGCGCCCUAGCCGACCCCGAUCCCUAGCCUUUAGGCAUAGGGGGAGGGGGCGCAGGGAACGGAUGUUUAUUUAUAUAAAUUUUCUUUAAAAAAAGGUAGAGCUAGAUUAUUGUAUGGGGAACAAUCUACCAGUGUGCAAGGUAGUAAUCGGCGUAAUGGCGGAAAGCAUGCCUAACUGUAAGACCUAGAAGUCGCACAGAUACGUAAGUAGGGCAUAGUGACCCUUCGCUAUAUUAUGGAAUAGACGGGGAUCAAUCGAUAAAAGUUACGCUAGGGAUAACAGGCUGAUAGCUGGUGAGAGUACACAUUGUCCCGGCUGUUUGGCACCUCGAUGUCGACUCAACCUAUCCUCCGGGGGAAGAAGCUUGGAAGGGUUCGGCUGUUCGCCGAUUAAAAGGUUACGCGAGUUGGGUUUAAUACGACGUGAGUCAGUAUGGUCCCUAUCUUCUGGAGGGAAAAAUAGUAAAAAGGGGCAGACCUUCUAGUACGAAAGGAUCAAUAGGCUGUGUUUCUCUAGUGUACCAAUUGUUGAAAAGAUUUCGGCUAAGCCGCUUUAAGCAUAGUUGGGUAGCCACAAACAUGAUAGAUAAGCGCUGAAUGAAUAUGAAGCAGGAAGCUAUCCCCUAGAUACUAUCAUUAGAACCCUUUUUAGCUUUUUUUAAGAAUAGUAGAAUAGGGUUCUAAUUUUGUAAGAAAUAGAACAUUUCUAGAUAGGAUGAAAAUGAAAUUACUGUGAGGUAUUUAGUUUAUCAUUACUAAUUUAUUAAAUAGACUCGAUGUU
rnacentral:rRNA from 1 species